AAUCGUGUCCCGCAACCUCGCACACGAUCUUCUACUUUGAUCGGCUUAGGUUUUUGGAGCACGUUCACCCCAAGUCCCCCCCCUCCCUCUUAGAUAUGUUAUUCUUCGCCAUCUUUCCAAUCUCUUGCAUCACUUGUUUUCAAGAGGAGCCAACUGGAUGGAAACAAACAAAUCACGUGACGAGAUUGAUGCUUUUGAUGUUGUGAGUUUGUGUUGCGUGGCUGUGUGUUUGUCGCUAUCGGGUUCAAGUGUCCGUUUGAAUUUGUUGGACAACAAAAGGAGUAGAACAGAUGACAAACACUCGUGAAACGGACGCAGGAAAAGUGGGUGGACUUUACAUGGUUGAAAGGCUUCACAGUUGGACUGGAUCGAAUCAGACAAUCGCAAUUUGGUGUGUCGAUUCAGUUUCUCGAGUACUUAUCUACAUCCUGUUAAAGUAUCAUUCACCCACUCUUUUUCGAUAACACAAGAAGGUUCCAAUAAAAGAGAGGUGACAAGCAUCAGAUCAAAGACGACGAGAAGUUGGUGGUUCUCCGAUGUCUUCAAAUCAAAGGGCACAAGUAAAAAAUUAAAAAAAAAGAGAAGUGCAAAGAGAAGAGGCGAACACAAAAAAAGAGAACGUAACUGAGAAUAAACUUUGCCGAAUGUGUGAACUGUGAGUGGGACAGAGCACUCGACUUGGAACGAAGUUUUAGCUGACGAAUCAAAAAUAAUCUGUCUGCAUUGCAGACGAAAGACUUUACCGGCAUCAAAUCAAAAAUAAUCGAAAGCGGAAAGAGGGACACCACAGAAGGUGAACGUCCUUCCCGCAUAACAUUCUAAUGGGUUUGCAAACUUUUAAUAAGGCAAUCCAUCAUUUCGCUACAGGGGGAAUCCCCCUUGCAGUGGUUUUAAAUUUCCUAUCCAUUUUGUCCUUUGGCGGUAGAGUAAAGAGCUUUUCAAGUGUAUAGGAAGUUGCGAGUUUAUUAUUUCGAACGUUCCCUAUCAGUCGAAUGAGAAAACGACAAUCGGAUAUCAACGUCAAUGAUUUCCCUGUCAAACGAAAUAAAAGACACACACACUAGGAGAGAUCCGGAUUCACUUCCGCCUAGUUUUGCGAAGGCCUUUUUUUCAAAAUUGACUGAGCAGCCAAUGACAUUACGAAAUAUUGCCCUCUAUGUACAGGGUCACGGUCGGAUUGUUGCUGCAGGCCGUCCUGCAAAAUGGAUCGAACCUUCUGGAGGACCCUGCUGUACAAGAGUUUCGUGAUUGACUGCACACUUUUGUCCGUGUUUUCCAUUACGAGUCAGUGGUACGGAUCGAAUGGCAAUAUUUUUCUUUAGGAAGGGGGGGGGGGGCCCUUGAGAUCUUUUUGUUCUUUUCCAACACGAAAAGAAGUGGGUUUCGUAGGUAUUAUUUAUUUUUUUAUUUUGUACCGUAUCCUCUGCAUAGUCCAACGGAUUUUUGCCUGCAGCUAUUGCUAUAGCGCAUAUUAUGCCGAAGGUAAGAGAAAAAUACAGCCCCCCCUGUACUUUCUCUUGUUGAAGCGACCCCCCUCUACUCUGUUUUGCGGUCUCCUCUCGUCGUCCUUUCGUGUGUGUGUUGUUGUUUGGGUGUAGAUUGUUUUUCCUUGCUUCUCUUUCGUGGUGAAAACUAGCAAUCUGAUAAUGAGACCGAAAGAUUGCCAAAGUUUUUGCCUUCUAGCGAGGAUCCAAUGAUGUGGCUCUCACCUUCACUGGCUGAUGUUUUUCUUCCUCUUUUCCAUAUGAUUUUUGUCUGUGUGCUUUUAACUUUUCCCCCUGCUGAUGCUUCGCUGGCUUGAAGGGGCCUCCCCCCCCCAAAAAAAAAAAAUACAAGAGAAGCCUUUAGGCCUCUCUCUCUGUAUUUAGUGUCUUCCAUUAAAGUUGGAAGGUAUAAGCACCUGGAAUUUCCGGUCUCUCAUGGACUCGUUUUUAUAUACACACUGAUUAUAUUGCUCCGAGUUUCUCAUUCUUUAUAUUUGUGUGUGUGUGUUGAGGAAUGGUUACAUUCCGUGUAGUCUUUGCAUUUUACUGUGUACUACCUCCUCCGCUCGUCUCGUAUUAUUUAUUCCCGUGUCCUCUUCGUUCUUUUUCUGUUCGUUCACGGCGCUAAUUCUAUUGUGAUUGCCUGGUCCAACGGCGCUGCAAUUUGAUGUUGACGACAAACGCGAUGACGACAGCGGAGAGAUCUAAAAAAAAAAUAAAAAAGAAGAAGAACAAGAACUUUACGGGAAUUUAAAAAAAAAAAAGACCUCAUUUUCCUUUAUUCUUUGAACACCGAAUGGAACCAAUUACGUAGUGCGGGAAAGAAAAAAAAAGAGACGCAACACUCGUGAAAUUUGAUUAUCCUUGAUGUAACCAUUUUCUUUUUCUUUCAACCGGGAUCUCAGGCAGUAAAAGAAGAAAAUAAUAAAGAACGAGCAAUCGUCCCCCUACUCUA